AAUGAAUAAAGGCAAUAACGGAUUCACGAAUCGAGUCAGGACCGGAAGGUAGCAGCUAUAAGUGAUGAAGUUAUGUGCCUUUUUUUUUGUUCUAUAAA
rnacentral:SRP_RNA from 1 species